AGCAGCCGCGGUAAUUCCAGCUCCAAUAGCGUAUAUUAAAGUUGUUGCAGUUAAAAAGCUCGUAGUUGAAUUUCGGGGUUAGUAGGUUGGUCAUGCCUCUGGUAUGUACUGGUCUCACUGAUUCCUCCUUCCUUAUGAACCGUAAUGCCAUUAAUUUGGUGUUGCGGGAAAUUUGGACUGUUACUUUGAAAAAUUAGAGUGUUUAAAGCAAGCUAACGCUUGAAUACAUUAGCAUGGAAUAAUGAAAUAGGACGUUCGAUCUUAUUUUGUUGGUUUCUAGGAUUGACGUAAUGAUUAAUAGGGAUAGUUGGGGGCAUUAGUAUUCAAUUGUCAGAGGUGAAAUUCUUGGAUUUAUUGAAGACUAACUACUGCGAAAGCAUUUGCCAAGGAUGUUUUCAUUAAUCAAGAACGAAAGUUAGGGGAUCGAAGACGAUCAGAUACCGUCGUAGUCUUAACCAUAAACUAUGCC
rnacentral:rRNA from 1 species